rnacentral:misc_RNA from 1 species
GAUGAAGAACGUAGCGAAAUGCGAUAAGUAGUGUGAAUUGCAGAAUUCAGUGAAUCAUCGAAUCUUUGAACGCACAUUGCGCCCUUUGGUAUUCCUUAGGGCAUGCCUGUUCGAGUGUCAUUUAAACCUUCAAGCUCAGCUUGGUGUUGGGUGACUGUCCGCUUCACCGCGGACUCGCCUCAAAAUUAUUGGCGGCCGGUACAUUGGCUCUCGAGCGCAGCAGAAACGCGUAACUCGAGGUCCUCGUGCUGGCUCCCAGAAGCUAUCUUCACAAUUUUGACCUCGGAUCAGGUAGGGAUACCCGCUGAACUUAAGCAUAUCAAUAAGCGGAGGA